GACGAACGCUGGCGGCGUGCCUAACACAUGCAAGUCGAACGGAGAAAUUAUUUCGGUAAUUUCUUAGUGGCGAACGGGUGAGUAACACGUAAACAACCUGCCUUUUAGAUGGGGACAACAUCUCGAAAGGGAUGCUAAUACCGAGUGUUUUAGCUUUAUCGCAUGAUAGAGCUAAUAAAGGUGGCCUCUAUUUAUAAGCUACCGCUAAAAGAGGGGUUUGCGUCUGAUUAGCUAGUUGGCGGGGUAACGGCCCACCAAGGCGACGAUCAGUAGCCGGUCUGAGAGGAUGAACGGCCACAUUGGGACUGAGAUACGGCCCAGACUCCUACGGGAGGCAGCAGUGGGGAAUAUUGGGCAAUGGGGGAAACCCUGACCCAGCAACGCCGCGUGAAGGAAGAAGGCCUUCGGGUUGUAAACUUCUUUUACCAGGGACGAAGAACGUGACGGUACCUGGAGAAAAAGCAACGGCUAACUACGUG
rnacentral:rRNA from 1 species